rnacentral:misc_RNA from 1 species
UCGUAACAAGGUUUCCGUAGGUGAACCUGCGGAAGGAUCAUUACUGUGAUUUACUACUACACUGCGUGAGCGGAACGAAAACAACAACACCUAAAAUGUGGAAUAUAGCAUAUAGUCGACAAGAGAAAUCUACGAAAAAACAAACAAAACUUUCAACAACGGAUCUCUUGGUUCUCGCAUCGAUGAAGAGCGCAGCGAAAUGCGAUACCUAGUGUGAAUUGCAGCCAUCGUGAAUCAUCGAGUUCUUGAACGCACAUUGCGCCCCUCGGCAUUCCGGGGGGCAUGCCUGUUUGAGCGUCGUUUCCAUCUUGCGCGUGCGCAGAGUUGGGGGAGCGGAGCGGACGACGUGUAAAGAGCGUCGGAGCUGCGACUCGCCUGAAAGGGAGCGAAGCUGGCCGAGCGAACUAGACUUUUUUUCAGGGACGCUUGGCGGCCGAGAGCGAGUGUUGCGAGACAACAAAAAGCUCGACCUCAAAUCAGGUAGGAAUACCCGCUGAACUUAAGCAUAUCA